UGCAUUUUUCUUUGGCUUUGGCUGGUUUUCUCCCGGUUUUCCUGGUAUUUUUGGAAAUUUUUUGGUGCUGCUAGCUGUGCCCAAGCUUUGACGGGGGCAAAUACCCACCGGAUGGGAUGCGAGGAGACGCGUCGUGGAGAUCGUGUUGUUCCUGCGUGCAAGAAUAAACAAUCACAGUGAGCGAGUGCUUGGUUGCUAAGCAUGGAAACCACGAGGGACGUGGAGGGGUUUCGGUCGCCCAGAUCACCGCGCAUGCGUGGACGCGGAGGAAUUUAAUUGACGCGGCAUGGAGGCGGAGACCCGCGUACCUCCGUGGGAUGAUCGGAGCGCUGUUGAUGGAGGGCGUGUGGUCGUCCGAUCGGUCGGUCCCUGCGUGCAGGCACACCAAACAGCAAUAAUGAUAAUGAUGCGCAAUGAUGAUAAACGCGGCCGUUUCCAACACAAUACAGAUUGGAAGGGACGAAGAAGAAUGGGUUUUCUUUGCACAAUCGUUGUCCUAAGCUAGCUGAUGUGAAGCCAAGGGGGAGGAGGCGACCGGAAAGAGACCGCCGGCCGGGGGAAGAACCGAGCCGUUCCGGCGGCCUGCGACUACUAACUUGCUUACCUUCUGAGAUGGAUCAGGGGC
rnacentral:lncRNA from 1 species